rfam:Desulfobacula toluolica Tol2 complete genome
GUACCGGCGACGGUGUUUCGGAAGGAAGCCGCCCUGCCGAGGCAGGGUACCGCAAAGGUACGGAGUGACGCACAGAAAUCGGGCACAAGGCGUCCACACCGGGACGAGUCUGCACAACAAGACGAAGUCCUCUAUCCAUUAUAGGGUGUGUCCGUAAACCCGGCACUCACGUACCGAAAGACAUGUGC